rnacentral:lncRNA from 1 species
UAAAGAUAAGGGACUAUUUUACAUCAGGUAAAUUACACCUUUGGUCCUCAAACUAUGAGGCGCGUAACUCUUUAAUUCUCGAACUCCAAUUCAUUAUAAUUUAUAACACUUUAGUUCAUAAAGUACGAGAACUAAAGUGUCACAUGCCAUACACUUCAAAUAAAAAAAAAAUAACUAAUUAAAAUUUGAGAAUUCAAGUGUCACGCGCCUCACAAUUUGAACUAGAACUUAUAGCAUAUUAAAUUUAAGAACUAAAAGAGGUUCUGAGUUUGAAUUUACUAAGCUCUCAGUAGUAUUCAAAUAUCUAUUACAACUU